AUACGUAGGUGACAAGCGUUAUCCGGAUUUACUGGGCGUAAAGGGCGUGUAGGCGGUCUUGCAAGUCAGAAGUGAAAUUCCUGAGCUCAACUCGGGCGCUGCUUCUGAAACUGCAGGACUUGAGUGCUGGAGGGGAUAGCGGAAUUCCUAGUGGAGCGGUAAAAUGCGCAGAUAUUAGGAAGAACACCGGUGGCGAAGGCGGCUUUGUGGACAGUACCUGACGGUGAGGCGCGAAAGCUUGGGGAGCAAACAGGAUUAGAUCCCCUGAUGUCCACGCCGUAAACGAUGAAUACUAGGUGUAGGGGGUAUCGACUCCCUCUGUGCCGCAGUUAACACAAUAAGUAUUCCGCCUGGGGAGUACGGCCGCAAGGUUGAAACUCAAAGGAAUUGACGGGG
rnacentral:rRNA from 1 species